rnacentral:rRNA from 1 species
UACGUAGGGUGCAAGCGUUAAUCGGAAUUACUGGGCGUAAAGCGUGCGCAGGCGGUGAUGUAAGACAGAUGUGAAAUCCCCGGGCUCAACCUGGGAACUGCAUUUGUGACUGCAUCGCUGGAGUGCGGCAGAGGGGGAUGGAAUUCCGCGUGUAGCAGUGAAAUGCGUAGAUAUGCGGAGGAACACCGAUGGCGAAGGCAGCCCCCUGGGUCAAGACUGACGCUCAUGCACGAAAGCGUGGGGAGCAAACAGG